CGCCAUCGAAUGAGGCAAGACUACCCGCUGAACUUAAGCAUAUCACUAAGCGGAGGAGAAGAAACUAACCAGGAUGCCCCUAGUAAUGGCGAAUGAAGCGGGCUGAGCUCACGCUGCCAAUCUGGAGGCCUCGCGUAUGCAGCGCCCCCCGAAUUGUGGUCUAGAGAGGCGUUAUCGGCCGCGCCCGCUGCUCAAGUCCCUUGGAACAGGGUGUCGGAGAGGGUGAGAAUCCCGUACCGUGGCGGGUUGCGGCCUUACGAUGCGUCCUCGUCGAGUCGGGUUGCUUGGGAUUGCAGCUUGAAUUGGGUGGUAAAUUCCAUCUAAAGCUAAAUACUGGCGAGAGACCGAUAGCGAACAAGUACCGUGAGGGAAAGAUGCAAAGAACUUUGAAAAGAGAGUCAAAGAGUGCUUGAAAUCGGUAGGAGGAAACCCGGAUGGGCCCGGCUUCGGCGCGCCGACUCAGCCUGGGGUUCUCCCCAGGUGCACUUCUGCGCGCCGGGUCAGCCGCGCCUCGGCGCCGCGCCUCAACCCGGGAGCGGGGCUUUACGGCCAGCUCCCGUCCUGGCGCGGCCCGGGGCCCGGCUGACGGAACGGGCCCCUCCGACCCGUCUAGAAACACGGACCAAGGAGUCUGACACGUGUGCGAGUACCCGGGUGGCAAGCCCGCGUGCGGAAUGAAAGUGAAGGGCAUGCCCUGCCAACCGACCUUGACCUGCUGUGAGGGGUUUGAGUGGAGCACACCUGUCGGGACCCGAAAGAUGGUGAACUAUGCCUGGGUAGGGUGAAGCCAGAGGAAACUCUGGUGGAGGCUCGUAGCGAUACUGACGUGCAAAUCGUUCGUCGAAUCUGGGUAUAGGGGCGAAAGACUAAUCGAACCAUCUAGUAGCUGGUUCCCUCCGAAGUUUCCCUCAGGAUAGCUUGAACGCAACGGUUUUGUCAGGUAAAGCGAAUGAUUAGAGGCCUGUGGGCUGAAACAGCUUGCACCUAUUCUCAAACUUUAAAUGGGCAAGAGGCCCGGGAUGCUUGAGUGAUCCCGGGCGGCGAACGGCGCGUUCAAAGUGGGCCAUUUUUGGUAAGCAGAACUGGCGAUGCGGGAUGAACCGAACGCCGCGCUAAGGUACCCAAGUGUCCGCUCAUCAGAUACCACAAAAGGCGUUGGUACCUCCAGACAGCAGGACGGUGGCCAUGGAAGUCGGAACCCGCUAAGGAGUGUGUAACAACUCACCUGCCGAAGGUACUAGCCCUGAAAAUGGAUGGCGCUCAAGCGGACCACCGAUGCGCGGCCGCCGGCGCGAGCGCGAGGCGCCGGCGAGUAGGAGGGCGCGGGGCUCGCGGCGCAGCCUUGGGCGCGAGCCUGGGUGAAGCGGGCCCCGGUGCAGAUCUUGGUGGUAGUAGCAAAUAUUCAAAUGAGAACUUUGAAGACUGAAGUGGAGAAAGGUUCCGUGUGAACAGCAGUUGGACACGGGUGAGCCGACCCUAAGAGACAGGAAAACUCCGCCGAACGCGGCUGGUUCUGUCAGCCCGUCCGUCGAAAGGGAAUCGGGUUAAUAUUCCCGAGCCAGCGCGUGGAUGGUGGGCGGCGACGCGAACGAACCCGGAGACGCCGGCGGGAGCCCUGGGAAGAGUUCUCUUUUCUUCUUAACUGCCUCCUGCCCUGGAAUCGGUUUAGCCGGAGCGAGGGCUACACGGCAGGCAAAGCACCCUAAGUCUUGGGGUGUCCGGCGCGCUCCCGACGGCCCGUGAAAAUCCGGGGGAGCGGUUCGUUCUCACGCCUGGUCGUACUCAUAACCGCAUCAGGUCUCCAAGGUGAACAGCCUCUAGUCGAUAGAGCAAUGUAGGUAAGGGAAGUCGGCAAAAUGGUUCCGCAACCUCGGGAGAAGGAAUGGCUCUGAAGGCUGGGCGCAGGGGUCCUAGGCUCGAGGCCGGCUGGCUGCGCGGGGACUACGGCCUCACGGCUGCGGAUCCCGCGCGGCCGUCCGGCGGACGGCCUAGGAGCGCUCCGGCUCUCCCUGCGCGACGAACAGCCGCUUCAGAACUGGCGCGGACAAGGGGAAUCCGACUGUUUAAUUAAAACAAAGCAUUGCGAUGGCCCGCGAGGGUGCUGACGCAAUGUGAUUUCUGCCCAGUGCUCUGAAUGUCAAAGUGAAGAAAUUCAACCAAGCGCGGGUAAACGGCGGGAGUAACUAUGACUCUCUUAAGGUAGCCAAAUGCCUCGUCAUCCAAUUAGUGACGCGCAUGAAUGGAUUCGUGAGAUUCCCACUGUCCCUAUCUACUGUCUAGCGAAACCACAGCCAAGGGAACGGGCUUGGAAGAAUCAGCGGGGAAAGAAGACCCUGUUGAGCUUGACUCUAGUCUGUUACUGUGGAACGACUUGAUGGGUGUAGAAUAUGCGGGAGGGGCAACCCGACAGUGAAAUACCGCAACCGUCAACGUUGUUUUACUUACUCGGUGGCGCGGAGGGAGGCUCGCCUCACUUCUGGAUCCAAGCCGCUUCGUGCGCGCGAUCCGCGUCGGGGACACUAACAGGUGGGGAGUUUGGCUGGGGCGGCACGUCUGUUAAAAAAUAACGCAGGCGCCCGAUUUUGAGCUCAAUGAGAACAGAAAUCUCAUGUGGACCGAAAGGGGAAAAGCUCGGUUGAUUUUGAUUUUCAGUACGAAUACAAACCGCGAAAGCGUGGCCUAUCGAUCCUCUCGUCUUUGGGAAUUUCAAGCUAGAGGUGUCAGAAAAGUUACCACAGGGAUAACUGGCUUGUGGCUGCCAAGCGUUCAUAGCGACGUAGCUUUUUGAUCCUUCGAUGUCGGCUCUUCCUAUCACUGCCUCGCAGCGGGGGCCAAAUGCAGGAUUGUUCACCCACCAACAGGGAACGUGAGCUGGGUUUAGACCGUCGUGAGACAGGUUAGUUUUACCCUACUGCUGUCUGUUUUUCUACGGUAAUUUGGUUCAGUACGAGAGGAACCACCAAUUCGCAUCAUCGGUAUAGCCGCCGCCGGAAACGGCGAUGCGGCGAAGCUGCCAUGCGCCGGAUUAUAACUGAACGCCUCUAAGUUAGAAUCCAUGCCGGAAGGAAAGCCACCUACCGGCCCGGGGACGCCACGAGCAACGGUAGCACUGCCUGAGCCGCGAGCGACCACAAUUCACGGACCCGGGCCGACGAAUCCCUUGCAGACGACUUGAAUAAGGAACAGGGUAUUGUACGCGGCAGAGUGGCCUUGUUGCCACGAUCCGCUGAGAUUCAGCCUUGGUUCUGAUGAUUUGU
rnacentral:rRNA from 1 species